rnacentral:rRNA from 1 species
GUGGGGAAUCUUGCGCAAUGGGCGAAAGCCUGACGCAGCCAUGCCGCGUGAAUGAUGAAGGUCUUAGGAUUGUAAAAUUCUUUCACCGGGGACGAUAAUGACGGUACCCGGAGAAGAAGCUCCGGCUAACUUCGUGCCAGCAGCCGCGGUAAUACGAAGGGGGCUAGCGUUGCUCGGAAUUACUGGGCGUAAAGGGCGCGUAGGCGGACAGCUUAGUCAGAGGUGAAAGCCCAGGGCUCAACCUUGGAAUUGCCUUUGAUACUGGCUGUCUUGAGUUUGGGAGAGGUGAGUGGAACUCCGAGUGUAGAGGUGAAAUUCGUAGAUAUUCGGAAGAACACCAGUGGCGAAGGCGACUCACUGGCCCAAUACUGACGCUGAGGCGCGAAAGCGUGGGGAGCAAACAGGAUUAGAAACACUGGUAGUCC